AUUGAACGCUGGCGGCAGGCCUAACACAUGCAAGUCGAGCGGAUGACGGGAGCUUGCUCCUUGAUUCAGCGGCGGACGGGUGAGUAAUGCCUAGGAAUCUGCCUGGUAGUGGGGGACAACGUUUCGAAAGGAACGCUAAUACCGCAUACGUCCUACGAGAGAAAGCAGGGGACCUUCGGGCCUUGCGCUAUCAGAUGAGCCUAGGUCGGAUUAGCUAGUUGGUGGGGUAAUGGCUCACCAAGGCGACGAUCCGUAACUGGUCUGAGAGGAUGAUCAGUCACACUGGAACUGAGACACGGUCCAGACUCCUACGGGAGGCAGCAGUGGGGAAUAUUGGACAAUGGGCGAAAGCCUGAUCCAGCCAUGCCGCGUGUGUGAAGAAGGUCUUCGGAUUGUAAAGCACUUUAAGUUGGGAGGAAGGGCAGUAAGUUAAUACCUUGCUGUUUUGACGUUACCGACAGAAUAAGCACCGGCUAACUACGUGCCAGCAGCCGCCGUAACAC
rnacentral:rRNA from 1 species